rnacentral:lncRNA from 1 species
AGGAAAAUUCCUUCAGUUAUUCAUCCACUGCUUUUCAUGAAUUAUCUGUCUUUAACAUUCACUGUUUUUUUUUUUUUAAGUUAUACUUGCAUAUGGUUGGAAUUUGAAAUUUCUAAAGGGUAUAAAACCGAACAAAGCUCUUCCUCAUCUUUCUUCUUGAGCUCUAGCUCUUCUCUCUCAAGAUGACAACUCUUUUUCUGGAAAAUAAUUUGUGUGAAAGUGUGUGUAUGUGUAUGUGUGUGUGUGUGUGUGUAAAACAAAUGGGAAUAGAGGGUGCUGAGCCUUGCUGUUUUAACUAAACGUUGUAUCUUGUAAAUCUUUCCAUGUCAGCAAGAUAGAUUGAACUCAUUGUUUUUAAAGGUUAUUUAUUAUUACAUUUGCAGGGAUAUGCAAUUAAUGAUUUGACCAGUUUGCUAUUUAUAGAUACUUGUUUUGUUUUUUUUCUUUUCUAGCUGCUCCAUAAACAAUGCUGCGGUGAAUGUCUUCAUACAUAUCUCUUGGCAUACUUUUGAGUAAAUUCCUAGCAAAGAAACAGCUGAGUCAAAAGGUUUUCUUAUCUGAAAUAGGAUAUUUGGAUCCUUUAGUCUACGAGUUGGGAAAGCACAAGAGGCCUGUCACUGCAGUGGAAUUUUCUGCAGCUCGAAUGAAUGAGAGACAAAUCACAGAUUCAAUCGAAAGCCGCACACAGAAAAUUCAAUAUCUGAGAAAAGGGAACCUUGAGGCCAUUCAUCCUCACCUCAUAGGAAUGAAGCAGAAAUAAAAACCACCUUUUAAAAGGAGAGCUAUAACUUCCAGCUUUGGGAGGUGGGUUUCAGAUUUUUUUCUC